rnacentral:rRNA from 1 species
GACGAACGCUGGCGGCGUGCCUAAUACAUGCAAGUCGAGCGGAUGAAAGAGGAGCUUGCUCCUCUAGAUUCAGCGGCGGACGGGUGAGUAACACGUGGGCAACCUGCCCUGUAGAUUGGGAUAACUCCGGGAAACCGGGGCUAAUACCGAAUAAUCCUUCGCACCUCAUGGUCCGAUGUUGAAAGACGGUUUCGGCCGUCACUACAGGAUGGGCCCGCGGCGCAUUAGCUAGUUGGUGAGGUAACGGCUCACCAAGGCCACGAUGCGUAGCCGACCUGAGAGGGUGAUCGGCCACACUGGGACUGAGACACGGCCCAGACUCCUACGGGAGGCAGCAGUAGGGAAUCUUCCACAAUGGACGAAAGUCUGAUGGAGCAACGCCGCGUGAGUGAAGAAGGUUCUCGGAUCGUAAAACUCUGUUGUGAGGGAAGAACAAGUACCGGAGUAACUGCCGGUGCCCUGACGGUACCUCAUUAGAAAGCCACGGCUAACUACGUGCCAGCCGCCGCCGUAA